rnacentral:rRNA from 1 species
GAUGAACGCUGGCGGCGUGCUUAAUACAUGCAAGUCGAACGGAAAGGCCCUGCUUUUGUUGGUUUCUCGAUUGGGGAACGGGUGAGUAACACGCGAGUAUCCUGCCCUUGUCUUUGGGAUAACUUUAGGAAACUGGGGCGAAUACCGGAUAUGAGCUCCUGCUCCAUGUGGGUGGAUGGAAAGUUUCGGCGGUUGGGGAUGGACUCGCGGGUUAUCGGCUUGUUGGUGGGGUAGUGGCUUACAAAGGCUUUGACGGGUAGCCGGCCUGGGAGGGGUACCGGCCACAUUGGGCCUGCGAUACGGAGCAGAAUCCAACGGGCGGCAGCAGUGGGAAGUCUUGCAGAGUGGGGGGAAGCCUGAUACGGAAACGCCGGGUGCGUAAUGACGGCCUUCGGGUUGUAAACCGCUUUCGCAUGUGACGAAGCGUGAGUGACGGUAAUGGGUAAAGAAGCAACAGCUAACUACGUG